GAUGAACGCUAGCGACAGGCUUAACACAUGCAAGUCGAGGGGCAGCGGGGAGGAAAGCUUGCUUUUCUCUGCCGGCGACCGGCGCACGGGUGAGUAACACGUAUGCAACCUGCCCGGCACAGGGGGAUAAUCGGAAGAAAUUCCGUCUAAUACCGCGUAAUACCUUCGGGAGACAUCUUCCGGGGGUCAAAGGAAGCAAUUCCGGUGUCGGAUGGGCAUGCGUCGCAUUAGCUAGUCGGCGGGGUAACGGCCCACCGAGGCGACGAUGCGUAGGGGUUCUGAGAGGAAGGUCCCCCACACUGGUACUGAGACACGGACCAG
rnacentral:rRNA from 1 species